GACGAACGCUGGCGGCGUGCCUAAUACAUGCAAGUCGAACGGGCUUAUUCGAGUAGCUUGCUAUUUGGAUAAGUCAGCGGCGGACGGGUGAGUAACACGUGGGUAAUCUGCCUCGUAGUCUGGGAUAACAAGCCGAAAGGUUUGCUAAUACCGGAUGAGUUCAUGUUAUUGCAUAGUGACAUGAAGAAAGGGGAGACCCGCUAUGAGAUGAGCCCGCGUCCCAUUAGCUAGUUGGUGGGGUAAAGGCCUACCAAGGCGACGAUGGGUAGCCGGCCUGAGAGGAUGAUCAGCCACACUGGGACUGAGACACGGCCCAGACUCCUACGGGAGGCAGCAGUGGGGAAUAUUGGACAAUGGGCGCAAGCCUGAUCCAGCCAUGCCGCGUGUGUGAUGAAGGCCUUAGGGUUGUAAAGCACUUUCACCGAUGAAGAUAAUGACGGUAGUCGGAGAAGAAGCCCCGGUAACUUCGUGCCAGCAGCCGAC
rnacentral:rRNA from 1 species